AUACUUACCUGGCAGGGGAGAUACCAUGAUCACAAAGGUGGUUUUCCCAGGGCGAGGCUUAUCCGUUGCACCCCGGAUGUGCUGACCCCUGCCAUUUCCCCAAAUGCGGGAAACUCGACUGCAUAAUUUGUGGUAGGGGGGACUGCAUUCGCGCUCUCCCCUG
rnacentral:snRNA from 1 species